GUUCUCCUUGCACUUUAUGAAUUCAUUGUUUUCAUACACGAUAUUGGUAUAACAUACUGUCUUUUGUUUUUUCUUGACUUCCAAUUCUACUACCGACACCUUUCACGUCAGCAAGCGCAACAGCAGACAUGGCUUUAAAAGAGAAGCAUGAGCUUAUAAGUUGUUUAGCGGUAAAGCAUAAAGAUUAAGGAGCUGAAAUUCCAACACAUACUUCCAUCCCAAAUUAAGAAAAUACAGUGCAGGGCUAUAACUACAGUUGUUAGUUAGAGUGUUGUCCAGUCUAAUAUGCUUCGUGCGUCUUAUUUUAAUAUAAGUAUGACAUCACAUUUAUGUAUCUUCAGGGCCGAGAACACUUUGUAAGCUGGGUUUUUUGAACUGCUAUAUUGAAUUUUCCAGGGGUGCUUGUUUCCAGAGCUUCAGCAGAUAGACAUUAUAUCUCACCAAGGGGCACUGCAAGAAAUUGUGUUGGUUGAAACUUUUGUUUAGUGUGUCUAAUAGAAUGAACCUUUUUAUGGGGAGUACUUUUGUUAAGACGAAAACCUUCUUUUCCUUUCAAAAUGUAGUCACAGUAGGGUGAAGUUAUGCUUACCUCACUACGGUAAAUGGUAAGAUAAUUCGUUACACGAA